GUGAAUAUAUUUAUAUUUAUGCGGCACUAAUGAUAAAAGACCACACAUUGGUGCCAAACUUCAUUUACCAGCGUCGAGUUAAUUUUGCAAUGAGAUAUGUCUUCCUGCAAUGAGGAAAUGAAUAGAAAAACUUUGAGUAUGGAUGAACCUUGUUUGGAACGAUUAGCAGAAGAUGAUGAAGAUGAAAUAGAUUCUGACAUUGGUCAAAUUGUGUCAUUAUUUUCCGGGUUAAAGAAUAAGU